UUUUCAGGAUGACACUGCAUUCGAGAAGCAGAGUGCCCUGUUUGCUUUGGCAAUUGCAGAUGUUGUAGUGAUAAACAUUUGGUGCCAUGAUAUCGGUCGGGAGCAGGCUUCCAAUAGACCUCUUCUUAAAACAGUUUUUCAGGUCAUGAUGCGUUUA